UCCUAUUAUUAUUUCGUCUGUUUAUUUUUACGACCGUGUCGAAUAUACAAGCGCCGCCGAUACCGCGCCGUUAUCGCGCCGUUCCAUCAAAAUCGUAUUUGUCUCGUACCGUCGCGCCAUACGAACAGUUAUAGGAGUGCGAAAUAAUGUCUUUUAAAACGCAUCGGCUUCGUGUUUUAACAGUAAUUCGUUAUAAUUUAUCGUACUCGGAAACAUACGGAUAAUCGGUUCGUUUUUUCUCGCAAUCGAUUUCGACCGGUCGCAUCGUCGUCGUAUUAUUAUAUUAUUAUUACUAAUAUUUAAUUUACUGCGAUUUCCAACGUUAUCGUACU